rnacentral:rRNA from 1 species
UACGUAGGGUGCAAGCGUUGUCCGGAAUUAUUGGGCGUAAAGAGCUCGUAGGCGGUCUGUCGCGUCUGCUGUGAAAACUCGGGGCUUAACCCCGGGCCUGCAGUGGGUACGGGCAGACUAGAGUGCGGUAGGGGAGACUGGAAUUCCUGGUGUAGCGGUGAAAUGCGCAGAUAUCAGGAGGAACACCGGUGGCGAAGGCGGGUCUCUGGGCCGUAACUGACGC